rnacentral:rRNA from 1 species
AUUGAACGCUGGCGGCAUGCUUUACACAUGCAAGUCGAACGAGUGGCGCACGGGUGAGUAAUACAUCGGAACGUGUCCCAUCGGGGGGGAUAACUGAUCGAGAGGUCAGCUAAUACCGCAUCCGAUUGGAGCGGCCGCGGCCGGAUUAGCUCGUUGGUGAGGUAAAGGCUCACCAAGGCGACGAUCGGUAGCUGGUCUGAGAGGACGACCAGCCACACGGGAACUGAGACACGGCCCAGACUCCUACGGGAGGCAGCAGUGGGGAAUGUUGGACAAUGGGGGCAACCCUGAUCCAGCCAUGCCGCGUGCAUGAUGAAGGUCUUCGGAUUGUAAACUGCUUUUGUCAGGGAGGCGUUACCUGAAGAAUAAGCACUGGCUAACUACGUGCCAGCAGCCGCGGUAAUAC